rnacentral:rRNA from 1 species
CAGCACCUCAAGUGGUCAGGAUGAUUAUUGGGCCUAAAGCAUCCGUAGCCUGCUUUGUUAGUUUUCGGUUAAAUCCAUACGCUCAACGUAUGGGCUGCCGGGAAUACUGCAGCGCUAGGGAGUGGGAGAGGUAGACGGUACUCGGUAGGAAGGGGUAAAAUCCUUUGAUCUAUUGAUGACCACCUGUGGCGAAGGCGGUCUACCAGAACACGUCCGACGGUGAGGGAUGAAAGCUGGGGGAGCAAACCGGAUUAGAGACCCGAGUAGUC